rnacentral:rRNA from 1 species
UUUAUUCGGAGAGUUUGAUUCUGGCUCAGAACGAACGCUGGCGGCGUGGAUAAGACAUGCAAGUCGUGCGGGAUUCCGGUGGUAGCAAUAUUGCCGGGAUUCAGCGGCGAAAGGGUGCGUAACACGUGGGUUAUUUGCCUGGGGGUUCAGUAUAACUUCGAGAAAUCGAAGCUAAUAAUGGAUGCUUGAGCAGCAAUGCUCAAAAAGCUGGGGACCGCAAGGCCCAGCGCCUUCAGAUAAGCCCGCGGCCUAUCAUGCUAGUUGGUGGGGUAACGGCCCACCAAGGCGACGACGGGUAGCUGGUCUGAGAGGACGACCAGCCACACUGGAACUGAGACACGGUCCAGACACCUACGGGUGGCAGCAGUCGAGAAUUUUUCACAAUGGGCGCAAGCCUGAUGGAGCGACGCCGCGUGGGGGAUGAAGGGCUUCGGCUCGUAAACCCCUGUCAUCUGCGAACAAUGCUGAAGCCGGACAAUGGUUUCAGUUGAUAGUAGCGGAAGAGGAAGGGACGGCUAACUCUGUGCCAGCAGCCGCGGUAAUACAGAGGUCCCAAGCGUUGUUCGGAUUUACUGGGCGUAAAGGGUGCGUAGGCGGUCUGCAAAGUCCGGUGUGAAAUUUUGCGGCUCAACCGCAAAAGUGCAUUGGAAACUUGUGGACUAGAGAUCUGGAGGGGAAGUUGGAAUUCUCGGUGUAGCAGUGAAAUGCGUAGAUAUCGAGAGGAACACCAGUAGCGAAGGCGAACUUCUGGACAGCUUCUGACGCUGAGGCACGAAAGCUAGGGUAGCAAACAGGAUUAGAUACCCUGGUAGUCCUAGCUGUAAACGGUGCACGCUUGCUGUGAGUGGAUUAAUACCCAUUCGCGGCGAAGCAAACGCGAUAAGCGUGCCGCCUGGGGAGUACGGUCGCAAGACUAAAACUCAAAGAAAUUGACGGGGGCCUGCACAAGCGGUGGAGUAUGUGGCUUAAUUCGAUGCAACGCGAAGAACCUUACCUGGCCUUGACAUGCAAGUAGUAGAACCCUGAAAGGGGGACGAGGUAGCAAUACCAGCUUGCACAGGUGCUGCAUGGCUGUCGUCAGCUCGUGUCGUGAGAUGUUGGGUUAAGUCCCGCAACGAGCGCAACCCCUGCAUUCUGUUGCCACGCGUUGAUUCGCGGGAACUCUGAAUGGACUGCCUCGCUUAAACGGGGAGGAAGGUGGGGAUGACGUCAAGUCAGUAUGGCCCUUACGGCCAGGGCUGCACACGUACUACAAUGCCUGCCACAGAAGGUUGCAAAGCCGCAAGGUGGAGCCAAUCCUCAAAAGCAGGCCCAGUUCAGAUUGCUGUCUGCAACUCGACAGCAUGAAGCUGGAAUCGCUAGUAAUGGCGCAUCAGCUACGGCGCCGUGAAUACGUUCCCAGGCCUUGUACACACCGCCCGUCACAUCAUGAAAGCCGGUCUUACCCAAAGUCAUCCAAAGUGCCUAAGGUAGGGCUGGUGAUUGGGAUGAAGUCGUAACAAGGUAGCCGUAGGGGAACCUGCGGCUGGAUCACCUCCUUUCUA